rnacentral:rRNA from 1 species
AUUGAACGCUGGCGGCAUGCUUUACACAUGCAAGUCGAACGGCAGCGCGGGCUUCGGCCUGGCGGCGAGUGGCGAACGGGUGAGUAAUACAUCGGAACGUGCCCAGUAGUGGGGGAUAGCUCGGCGAAAGCCGGAUUAAUACCGCAUACGACCUGAGGGUGAAAGCGGGGGAUCUUCGGACCUCGCGCUAUUGGAGCGGCCGAUGGCAGAUUAGCUAGUUGGUGGGGUAAAGGCCUACCAAGGCGACGAUCUGUAGCUGGUCUGAGAGGACGACCAGCCACACUGGGACUGAGACACGGCCCAGACUCCUACGGGAGGCAGCAGUGGGGAAUUUUGGACAAUGGGCGAAAGCCUGAUCCAGCAAUGCCGCGUGUGUGAUGAAGGCCUUCGGGUUGUAAAGCACUUUUGGCGGGAACGAAAAGGACUGUGCCAAUACCACGGUUCGAUGACGGUACCCGCAGAAUAAGCACCGGCUAACUACGUC